UACGGAGGGGGCUAGCGUUGUUCGGAAUUACUGGGCGUAAAGCGCACGUAGGCGGCUUUGUAAGUUAGAGGUGAAAGCCUGGAGCUUAACUCCAGAACUGCCUUUAAGACUGCAUCGCUUGAAUCCAGGAGAGGUGAGUGGAAUUCCGAGUGUAGAGGUGAAAUUCGUAGAUAUUCGGAAGAACACCAGUGGCGAAGGCGGCUCACUGGACUGGUAUUGACGCUGAGGUGCGAAAAGCGUGGGGGGCAACA
rnacentral:rRNA from 1 species